rnacentral:rRNA from 1 species
AGUGAACGCUGGCGGUAGGCCUAACACAUGCAAGUCGAACGGCAGCACAGGAGAGCUUGCUCUCUGGGUGGCGUGUGGCGGACGGGUGAGGAAUACAUCGGAAUCUACUCUGUCGUGGGGGAUAACGUAGGGAAACUUACGCUAAUACCGCAUACGACCUACGGGUGAAAGCAGGGGACUUUCGGGCCUUGCGCGAUUGAAUGAGCCGAUGCAGGAUUAGAUAGUUGGCGGGGUAAAGGCCCACCAAGGCGACGAUCCGUAGCUGGUCUGAGAGGAUGAGCAGCCACACUGGAACUGAGACACGGUCCAGACUCCUACGGGAGGCAGCAGUGGGGAAUAUUGGACAAUGGGCGCAAGCCUGAUCCAGCCAUACCGCGUGGGUGAAGAAGGCCUUCGGGUUGUAAAGCCCUUUUGUUGGGAAAGAAAUCCAUCUGGUUAAUACCCGGGUGGGAUGACGGUACCCAAAGAAUAAGCACCGGCUAACUUCGUGCCAGCAGCCGCCGUAA